GAUCCUGGCUCAGGGUGAACGCUGGCGGUAUGCCUAAGACAUGCAAGUCGAACGGGCUGUUUAUGCAGCCAGUGGCGGACGGGUGAGUAACACGUAGGUGACCUACCCCAAAGUCUGGGACAACUAGGAGAAAUCUUAGCUAAUCCUGGAUGUGGACAUCUACUUUGGUGGAUGUUUAAAGCUUCGGCGCUUUGGGAUGGGCCUGCGGCGCAUCAGGUAGUUGGUGGGGUAAUGGCCUACCAAGCCGACGACGCGUAGCUGGUCUGAGAGGACGAUCAGCCACAGGGGUACUGAGACACGGACCCCACUCCUACGGGAGGCAGCAGUUAGGAAUCUUCCGCAAUGGGCGAAAGCCUGACGGAGCGAUACCGCUUGAAGGACGAAGCCCUUCGGGGUGUAAACUUCUGAACUCGGGACGAUAAUGACGGUACCGAGGUAAUAGCACCGGCUAGCUCCGUGCUAGCAGCCGCGGUAAUACGGAGGAUGCGAGCGUUACCCGGAUUUACUGGGUGUAAAGGGCGUGUAGGCGGUCUCUCAAGUCCGAUGCUAAAGACCGAAGCUCAACUUCGGGGGUGCGUUGGAUACUGUGAGGCUAGACGGUCGGAGAGGGUAGCGGAAUUUCCGGAGUAGCGGUGAAAUGCGCAGAUACCGGAAGGAACGCCGAUAGCGAAAGCAGCUACCUGGACGAUUUGUGACGCUGAGGCGCGAAAGCGUGGGGAGCAAACCGGAUUAGAUACCCGGGUAGUCCACGCCCUAAACGAUGAGUGCUGGGUGUCCGACAUCUGUUGGGUGCCGUAGCUAACGCGUUAAGCACUCCACCUGGGAAGUACGGUCGCAAGACUGAAACUCAAAGGAAUUGACGGGGGCCCGCACAAGCGGUGGAGCAUGUGGUUUAAUUCGAAGCAACGCGCAGAACCUUACCAGGUCUUGACAUCCUGGGAACCCUGGUGAAAGCCGGGGGUGCCCGCAAGGGAGCCCAGAGACAGGUGCUGCAUGGUCGUCGUCAGCUCGUGUCGUGAGAUUGUUGGGUUAAGUCCCGCAACGAGCGCAACCCCUGUUGCUAGUUGCCAGCAGUUCGGCUGGGCACUCUAGCGAGACUGCUAACCAAAAGUAGGAGGAAAGGCGGGGGAUGACUUCUGAUCCCCAUGGGCCUUACAACCUGGGGGAACACCGUGCUUCAAUGGCUGGCCAAAAACGCUGCGACCCGGUAACGGGAAGCAAUCCCAAAACAGGC
rnacentral:rRNA from 1 species